rnacentral:rRNA from 1 species
AUUGAACGCUGGCGGCAUGCUUUACACAUGCAAGUCGAACGGUAACAGGUUAAGCUGACGAGUGGCGAACGGGUGAGUAAUGCAUCGGAACGUGCCCGAUCGUGGGGGAUAACGCAGCGAAAGCUGCGCUAAUACCGCAUACGAUCUGAGGAUGAAAGCGGGGGACCGUAAGGCCUCGCGCGAUCGGAGCGGCCGAUGUCAGAUUAGGUAGUUGGUGGGGUAAAGGCCCACCAAGCCGACGAUCUGUAGCUGGUCUGAGAGGACGACCAGCCACACGGGGACUGAGAACCGGCCCAGACUCCAACGGGAGGCAGAAGUGGGGAAUUUUGGACAAUUGGCGAAAGCCUGAUCCAGUAAUGCCGCGUGCAGGAAGAAGGCCUUCGGGUUGUAAACUGCUUUUGUACGGAGCGAAAAGGUCCUUUCUAAUACAAGGGGCUUAUGACGGUACCGUAAGAAUAAGCACCGGCUAACUACGUGCCAGCCGCCGCAGUAACAC